rnacentral:misc_RNA from 1 species
GGGAAAAACUUGUCCAUUUUCACUGGAUUCUUCUAUUGUCAAUGGUUUUCAGACUAUAGCUUAUAAACAGUGAUCCUCCAGGCAGACUAUUAUAUGGCGGGUUCGAGAACAAUAGUUUGUAGUUUGAAGGAGCGUGCUUCGUUGCGAGCUUUUAUCAAAUAUGUUACUUACAAUCCGACAUUUGAUCCAAAUCGACAAAGAAUUAUAGCAUGCACCAAAACUUGCAAUGAGCCGGCUAUGCUCUGCCAGGAUCUCAUCGGAAACAAACUGCAAGUGCUGAGAUUGUGAAGUCGGAAAUUGGAACGGCCUCUGUGGUACCUACCGCCGUGCCAUUGAUAAUCCAUCAAUGAUUUGCAUUUUUU